UGGGUUGCCUUUUAAUUUACA
rnacentral:piRNA from 1 species